GCCCCUGCCCCGGGGCAGAGCGGCUCCAGCAGCCGCGGCACGGAGGGGAAGGAGCGGCCCGGGGGAAGGAGCGGCCCGGGGGUGCCCUCGGGGCCGUGGGGAGGAGGAGCGGGGCGGAGCGGAGCGCUGCGAGCGGGAGCUGCGCGGUUGCCGGGCACAAAGAGGUUUGGGGCUCCCGGGCUGAUGCACAGUCCCGGGCCAAGCUCGGAGAGGCUGCCCGGACACCGAGCGAGCCCGCACUGCACGGACGCACCUCCGGAGCGGAUAAAGGGGCGGGGGAGGGAUGGACGGGCUAAACUCUUCCACUCCUGAGCUGGGAGAAUCUACAUUGCCGUGCCGGGAUCGGGCACGGCUGUCACUGGGAGAGGGGCUGCCCCGCGGGGCCAGGAUGAGUGGCUACUGACCGGCGCUCCCGGCCAUCCCCAUCCACACCCACCCCGCUGCCACUUGAGCUUUUCCACUCGGCUGCCCCAAAACGGGAGGGGGGGGGAGGAAUAGAGGGGACGGCGCUUGCGAAUCCCCCGAGUUUCAUGGCAACAGAAAGUUCUCUCCGUGUGAAAGAAAACUUUGGCGGCGGAUAUGUGAGCGGAGCGGCGCCCACUGGAGCUGUCAAUCGCCGGCUUCCCUGUCCGCCCCUCCCCUCCCUUUACCCCUCCUUCCCUUCCUUCGCCGGAGGCACGGACACCGCACCUGCACGGGCGGGGCAGGCGGGCUGGGCUGCCCCAUCCCUGCUCUUCCUCUCCCUCCCGCGGCCCCGCUCAGCUCCGCCUGGAGAAGCCGGGCGGCUCUGCGGGCCGGGCAGCGCUGGGGCAGGAGAGGCGAGGCGAGCCGCAGGCUGCUCGGGGAAAGCCUCGCUGCGGGGAAUGCGGGCAGCAUCGCCGCUGUAGCGAUGAGCAAACUGCCCCAGGGGCGUGUGGGCUGCCGGGGAGGGUCAUGGGCCCUGAGGUGCGGACGUGUCUGAGCCUCCCGUCCCGUCCUGGGCGGCCCGGCGAGGAGCGAUGCUGCCGCCGCAGCUCCCCGGCUUGGCGGGCACCGGGGUCACCCCAAAGACAAGACCGCGGGUGUGAGGACGAUGAGCGUUUGUUGGAGGGACUGGACACGCUAGCAUGCAACGAAAAAUUGGGCUGAGUAGAGAAUCAGAGGACGUGCUGAAAUCCCCCUGAAUAGUAUUUCCGUCAAUGUUUAAAUAAAUAUUGCAGCGUUAA